rnacentral:misc_RNA from 1 species
AUAUAUUACAAAAAAAAGAGAAAAAAAAGACAUUUCGAUAUUAUACAAAGAGAACUAUGACGAUGGGAAAAAAUAACAGCAUAGCAGAUCUAGCGACACCCGGCAGCUUACCUCAAGGGAAGGGCCCGUAGCAGAUGUUUGAACAGUUCAUUUCUUGGUUUCCUUCGCUAAACUUACGUUCUUGCGCUUUCGUGAACAGAUACGAGAUCAUAAGUGGUUUAAAGGGGUUUAUUUAUUUUCUUCGUUUGGGUGUGAUAAGUGUGUUUGUGCUGUGGUUACGUGAUUUUAUAUAUGUAUUUAAAGAUGUUCAUGUUGUAGACGUGUGUAUUGGUAGUAAUGUUACGUAAGUUAUUAUCAUAUGUACUAACAUUUAAGCAUUUUUCUAUAGUAUGAAAUUAAAAUAACAGUAGAAAAAAAGAAAAACGUUUUUAAUUAAUCAUUAAGUAUAUACAUACGCGUGUAUUCCUCGAAAUAAAAAGAUUACUUGACGAAAAAAAAAAAAAAAAAAAAUGUCUUUUUCACCGUAAGUCCGGGUUUAAUAGUAAAAUUACACUGAACAUUGAACCACCUUCUUACCAAACCUUCGCUCUUCUCUCCUUUCCCUUUUGUCUUUAUUUUGCGAUUUUCUCUUAUAUUUCUCUUUAUCCUCUCUUUCCUCUCUCUCUCUCUAUCUAUCUAUCUAUCUUUAUCCUUCUCCCACAUUUUUUUUUUCUAUUUUUGUCCUUUUUAUUUUGCAUUUACGUCUUCCACGUCUUGUUAUUAGUUACGUUAUUGCAUUAUUUCUCUUCCACUGUUACUCAUUCUCCCCUUCGCCUCCCAUUUAUCACUUCACGCUUGCUUCUCUACUCCCGUUAUUAUUCCUUAAGACCGAAGAUAUACAUAGUCGUGUGUGGGCGGAGAAUAGCGCUUCGGAAACCACAAUGAUGCAGCAUUCGAGCAGUUUACCGUUGUUCUACGGAUGCCUGGUCCUGUUCACCAUCUUCGUCGUGUUCUUCGAGGAACACGAAGAACAGACCUUUCACAUGAUGGAUUACACUUCAGACGCCAGUGGAGGUUUCAGGUCGCCAAAAAUAUGGGAUGAAUCACUGCAAGAAAAUGACAAGACCGGUAAUGAAACGAUAAAAAAACCCCUUACCUGUUAGUGAAGGAGGCCCAAGGAAAGACGCUGCUCCUGCCGUUUACUUGGAAGAAAUGCCUAAGGAAUUUUGUUUUCCUGAAGAAGGCUUAGAUCUUCGUAAUCCGAAGAUGAAGAAGAUUCUAAUUUGGAAUUCAGGUUACGGUACCAAAACAAUGAGCUUUGGCUACGGUCGCGCGCCUUUCCAAAGAGCCAAGUGCGAGGAGGAUCACUGUAUGACGACCAGCAAUGCCACCCUCCUGCCAUCUGUCAAGGAUUUCGAUGCUGUCAUAUUCCACUUCAGGGCGACGGAGAGGUUACAGAUGCCGAGGAGGAGGUCUCCUCAUCAACGCUGGAUUUUCGAGGAAGUUGAAUCAUCUUCAUACAUUUACCAGGAUCCUGCAAUAUACAACAGUCUGUUCAACUGGACGAUGACUUAUAGAAGGGAUUCUGAUAUCGUUUAUACCUACGGCCGCGUGUAUCCCCUCUUCCACGCCGUCGUCAGUUGCAAAAGGCAAGAAUUUCGCGGAAGGAAAGACAAAGAUGGCGGCCUGGUUCGUGUCCAAUUGCUAUUCUCACUCCAAGCGAGAGAGAAUUGUGAAGGGCUUGCAGAAGUAUAUCAAGGUGGACAUUUACGGAAAAUGUGGACCACUAGAAUGUCCCCGUGCAAGUACUCGCCUGUGUUACCAGAUGCUCGAGAAGAAUUACAAGUUUUAUCUUUCGUUUGAGAACUCUCUCUGCAAGGAUUACGUGACAGAAAAGCUGUUCUCUGUUCUCAAAUACAACGUUGUCCCUGUGGUAUACGGUCUCGCUAACUACGCCCUAAUUGCCCCUCCCGGUUCUUAUAUCGACGCCCUGAGCUUCCCUUCGGUGGAAAGUCUGGCCAAGUACUUGAAAUAC